AGAGUUUGAUCCUGGCUCAGGAUGAACGCUGGCGGCGUGCUUAACACAUGCAAGUCGAACGAACCUUCGGGUUAGUGGCGGACGGGUGAGUAACGCGUGAGGAUCUGCCCUCAGGAGGGGGAUAACGGUUGGAAACGACCGCUAAUACCCCAUAUGCCGAUAGGUGAAAUGAAUUUCGCCUGAGGAUGAGCUCGCGUCUGAUUAGCUUGUUGGUGAGGUAAUGGCUCACCAAGGCUUCGAUCAGUAGCUGGUCUGAGAGGAUGAUCAGCCACACUGGGACUGAGACACGGCCCAGACUCCUACGGGAGGCAGCAGUGGGGAAUUUUCCGCAAUGGGCGAAAGCCUGACGGAGCAACGCCGCGUGAGGGACGAAGGCCUCUGGGCUGUAAACCUCUUUUCUCAAGGAAGAAGAUAUGACGGUACUUGAGGAAUAAGCCACGGCUAAUUCCGUGCCAGCAGCCGCGGUAAUUC
rnacentral:rRNA from 1 species